rnacentral:lncRNA from 1 species
AGAACAUGUUCAUUCAGAAUUAAUAAAAUCGAAUAUGGUUAAGAUAUUUGAUCAUAUUUGGUAUACAACUUUUUAAAACAAAAAUAUGUUAAUGAACAGCUGACAAGUUUCCGUAGUUUUACAUUACGCUUCCGUGUGUAUUAUUGUUAAAACCUAUCUCUGGCAGGUAGAUAUAAACGAAACUUUGCAAGUUUUUUAAAGUUAAGACCAUUGAAAUUAUCAACUAGUGACAUUAUAUAGAAGCUGCAGCAAUUCCGUACCCGUGUUGAUUGUCACAUAUUUACCGACGAACGGAAUUUUACGAUCGAUGUUCAGUGAUCAUUUUAUUUCUAAAAACACGACAGUUUGAGACAAUUUACCUUGCAAGUAACAUUUUUUCACUUUAUAUUAAAAUAAAUCACUUCUCUUUAUCUUUAAUCAAAGUUUAUUUUAUUUUUUUCAAUUACAAAU